GCCGGGCGAGGUGGCGGGCGCCUGUAGUCCCAGCUACUCGGGAGGCUGAGGCAGGAGAAUGGCGGGAACCCGGGAGGCGGAGCUUGCAGUGAGCUGAGAUCCGGCCACUGCACUCCAGCCUGGGCGACAGAGCGAGACUCCGUCUCAAAAAAAAAAUAAAAAAAAAAAAAAAAGAAAUCUUGUUCUGUCACAUAGGCUGGAGGGCAGUGGCGUGAUCUCAGCUCACUGCAACCUCCACCUCCUGGGUUCAAAUGGUUCUCCUGCCUCAG
rnacentral:SRP_RNA from 1 species